UACAGGUUGGCAUAUUGCUUUGCACUUUACAGAAAAUUACAGAGCUGCAGAAUGAAAAGUUGUGCUUUUCAAUCAUCAACUGUCAGGGGGACAUUUCAUGAAGACAACAAAUUACUAUUUCUACGAACAUUAUACUGGCAUGGCCCACUCUUGUCACCAUCAGUAACCCUCCUGAGAAAUGCCAUGUAGCCACCUCCAGAGAACAUGUGGACAAAAUAUGGAUGCAAAGACGCUGCAGGAGAUCUGCGGCAGCAAGAUUUAAAAAGGAUGAAAAUAAACUGAAACAAAUAUUUA